GGUCUAUAGCUCAGCUGGUCAGAGCACACGCUUGAUAAGCGUGGGGUCGUUGGUUCAAGUCCAACUAGACCCACCA
rnacentral:tRNA from 1 species